rnacentral:rRNA from 1 species
GAUGAACGCUGGCGGCGUGCCUAAUACAUGCAAGUCGAGCGAAUGGAUUAAGAGCUUGCUCUUAUGAAGUUAGCGGCGGACGGGUGAGUAACACGUGAGUAACCUGCCCAUAAGACUGGGAUAACUCCGGGAAACCGGGGCUAAUACCGGAUAACAUUUUGAACCGCAUGGUUCGAAAUUGAAAGGCGGCUUCGGCUGUCACUUAUGGAUGGACCCGCGUCGCAUUAGCUAGUUGGUGAGGUAACGGCUCACCAAGGCAACGAUGCGUAGCCGACCUGAGAGGGUGAUCGGCCACACUGGGACUGAGACACGGCCCAGGCUCCUACGGGAGGCAGCAGUAGGGAAUCUUCCGCAAUGGACGAAAGUCUGACGGAGCAACGCCGCGUGAGUGAUGAAGGCUUUCGGGUCGUAAAACUCUGUUGUUAGGGAAGAACAAGUGCUAGUUGAAUAAGCUGGCACCUUGACGGUACCUAACCAGAAAGCCACGGCUAACUACGUGCCAGCCGCCGCAAUAA